ACCUACCUUCAACUGGGGGAUAGCCCAGGGAAACUUGGAUUAAUACCCCAUAGUAUUUAUGAAUCGCAUGGUUUAUAAAUUAAAGUUCCGGCGGUUGAAGAUGGGCAUGCGUGCCAUUAGUUAGUUGGUGAGGUAACGGCUCACCAAGACAGCGAUGGCUACGGGGUCUAAAAGGAUGGUCCCGCACACUGGUACUGAGACACGGACCAGACUCCUACGGGAGGCAGCAGUGAGGAAUAUUGGUCAAUGGGCGCAAGCCUGAACCAGCCAUGCCGCGUGCAGGAAGACGGCCCUAUGGGUUGUAAACUGCUUUUGUACGGGAAUAAUAACCACGACGUGUCGUGGGACGAAGGUACCGUACGAAUAAGCAUCGGCUAACUCCGUGCCAGCAGCCGCGGUAAUACGGAGGAUGCAGGCGUUAUCCGGAUUUAUUAGGUUUAAAGGGUGCGCAGGCGGCCCGGUAAGUCAGUGGUGAAAGUUUGCAGCUUAACUGUAAAAUUGCCAUUGAUACUGUCGGGCUUGAAUGUGGUAGAGGUAGGCGGAAUGUGUAGUGUAGCGGUGAAAUGCUUAGAUAUUACACAGAACACCGAUUGCGAAGGCAGCUUACUAUGCCAUGAUUGACGCUGAGGCACGAAAGCGUGGGGAGCGAACAGGAUUAGAUACCCUGGUAGUCCACGCCGUAAACGAU
rnacentral:rRNA from 1 species